UACAGAGGGUGCAAGCGUUAAUCGGAAUUACUGGGCGUAAAGCGUGCGUAGACGGUAGCGUAAGUCGGGUGUGAAAGCCCCGGGCUCAACCUGGGAAUUGCAUUCGAGACUGCUCUGCUAGGGUGCGGAAGAGGGAAGCGGAAUUUCCGGUGUAGCGGUGAAAUGCGCAGAUAUCAGGAGGAACACCGGUGGCGAAGGCGGGUCUCUGGGCCGAUACUGACGCUGAGGAGCGAAAGCGUGGGGAGCGAACAGG
rnacentral:rRNA from 1 species